AGCGAACGCUGGCGGCGUGCUUAACACAUGCAAGUCGAGCGAAGGUGUUCCAAGGGUAACCUUGAGAUACACUUAGCGGCGGACGGGUGAGUAAUACGUGGAUAACUUACCUCUAGGCCUGGGACUAACCCCGGGAAACGUGGGGCUAAUACCUGAUAAGACCACAUUGUCUACGGACAAAAGGGGUAAAGGUGGCUGUGCAAACAGCUAUCGACCAAAAGAUAGGUUCACGUCCCAUCAGGC
rnacentral:rRNA from 1 species